CUGCUGAACUCUUGACAUUUUUGUUGCCACCACGAUUAACAUCUGGCUGUGCAUUGCUUCCUCAAGAGGCACGGGAGGAAUGUCAGUUUCCGUGCUCCUUAGUAUAUACACGAAGACAUGAGAUUUGUUUUGAUAAUAAAAGGUGAAGGUAAGUGAUAAAUGUGAGUUUCAAGUGAUGGUAUUAAGAACUUGAUUGAGCUUAACUUACAGAAUUGUUUAAGUUAAAAUGAACUUUAUUAGAGAAACAGUGAUUUUGAGAUAACCAAUCAGUAUGGAGUAAACAGAAAAGAUUCAAUUAUGAGUAAGAGAGAAUAGACUUUUUAUCUAUUUUUUUAAUCUGAGUAUAGCAGACACAUAAUGCUGCAUUAGUUUCAG
rnacentral:lncRNA from 12 species